rnacentral:rRNA from 1 species
AUUGAACGCUGGCGGCAGGCCUAACACAUGCAAGUCGAACGAGUGGCGGACGGGUGAGUAAUGUCUGGGAAACUGCCUGAUGGUGGGGGAUAACCACUGGAAACGGUAGCAUAUAACGCAUACCAUCGGAUGUGCCCAGAUGGGAUUCGCUUGUAGGUGGGGUAAAGGCUCACCUAGGGGACGAUCCCUAGCUGGGCUGAGAGGAUGACCAGCCACGCUGGAACUGAGACACGGUCCAGACUCCUACGGGAGGAAGCAGUGGGGAAUAGUGCACAAUGGGCGCAAGCCUGAUGCAGCCAUGCCGCGUGUAUGAAGAAGGCCUUCGGGUUGUAAAGUACUUUCAGCGGGGAGGCGUUACCCAAAGGAGAAGCACCGGCUAACUCCGUGCCAGCAGCCGCGGUAAUAC